ACGGCCAAAUUUGGUAGAAAAUACUGUUUCCCGUCCGAUCAACGAGCGUCAAGCUGCCAAGAGCCUCAGUGAGUAAUACAGUGGGAGACCAUGUGUGAAAUUGGGGUGCUGUAUU
rnacentral:rRNA from 1 species